rnacentral:rRNA from 1 species
AUUGAACGCUGGCGGCAUGCUUUACACAUGCAAGUCGAACGGCAGCGCGGGCUUCGGCCUGGCGGCGAGUGGCGAACGGGUGAGUAAUGCAUCGGAACGUGCCCAGUAGUGGGGGAUAGCCCGGCGAAAGCCGGAUUAAUACCGCAUACGACCUGAGGGUGAAAGCGGGGGACCGAAAGGCCUCGCGCUAUUGGAGCGGCCGAUGUCGGAUUAGCUAGUUGGUGGGGUAAAGGCCUACCAAGGCGACGAUCCGUAGCUGGUCUGAGAGGACGAGCAGCCACACUGGGACUGAGACACGGCCCAGACUCCUACGGGAGGCAGCAGUGGGGAAUUUUGGACAAUGGGGGCAACCCUGAUCCAGCCAUGCCGCGUGCGGGAAGAAGGCCUUCGGGUUGUAAACCGCUUUUGUUCGGGAAGAAAUCCUCUGGGCUAAUACCCCGGGGGGAUGACGGUACCGGAAGAAUAAGCACCGGCUAACUACGUG